UCUCAAAGGAAAGAGAAUAGCUAAGAUACAUUUAUAUCAAAUGGGGAUUUAUUAGAUUGGCUUACAUGACACAACCUGGGUAGCUCAACAAUGCCUGUCUCAUACCAGAGAGGCUGAGAACCUGGUAGUUACUCAGUGUCCAAGGAGGGAUGGUUUAGUAGUCCCAAUCUAAUGUUUAAGGUCUAGAGGAGUUUAAAGAGCCAUGGGUUUCAGUCGACAGUGCUAGCCAGGAGCUUAAUCCUACUUCUAGGGAACAUUAAAACCAGUGUUGAAGUUAACCGAUGUUUCUGUUGGAAACUUCACUGAGGACGAUGGAAUAAAACUGACAGUUAAGUGUGACACUUUGCCCAGGGAGUCUGUCUCUACAGCCUUCACUUCACUUUGAGGCCGUGCAUGAAAACUCUGACAGUAUAAGUAUAAGAAAGUAUAAGAAACACACUCAGAAGGACAACUGUGUGAAGGAAGUAGAAGUUACUACCUUCCAGCAUGACAUGUUAUACCCUCCAUCUGCAGUUGCACAUGCGUAGUCCUCAGCUUCGGUUACACGUUUCCACCUUCCAGCAUGACUCGGCAUACCCUCUGCAGCCGCGCACGUGCAGACCUCAGCUUCGGCUGUAACUUCUUAAGAGGAUGAACUUCUGCAGCAGGUGCUUCAGGGAGCAGGCUUUCGUGUCUGACUGUCACUUCCCUGUCUGUAUCCCUACAUCUUUUGGUCUCCACCAGUUGGACUGGUUCACCCACCAUCACUGGAGGAGAUUCAGGAGGCCCUCCAUAGUCCUCUCCCUUCUGCUGCUCCCAAUUCUCCCUUCUUCAAGCAGACCCCGGGAUGAGGUCAUUCCUGAUAUUCUGUGGGCAAUACGUGUAGAGUUUUCUCUUGGUCCCACAAGGCUUGAUAAGAAAUCAGCUGGUGCUGGAGGCUACUUGGGACAGCGAGAGACACAGACUUGGGAUGAACUGACUCUGUAAGAGGGACAGAAGAUAGACAGGGAGAAAUCAGGUGUUUUGUGAUACAGUGGGACCACUGUACACCAAGCCACACUCAGUUCCUCUCGAUCUCCAGGCUUUUCAGUUCUACGAGCUAAGGAAUACACUUUGUUAUUCAAUCAAGGCAAAUGAGUCCUCUGUAACUUAUAACACAGAGCAUCAUCAGUAAUGUCUCCCCUCCCCCCUGCCCUAACCACCUGACCUAGGAGUUCGGCUGUUUAGCAUUAAGAGGUUCUAUAAGAGCUGAACCAAUACGACCCAAACUGGUUAUCACAAAUGUCAAUGACAGACACUUGUGUGUGCUGAAAUUUUGAUGCUAAGUACAACCUUUUCCCAAGAAUGUAGAACCGACUUGUGAAGCCCCAGUGGCCGCAGGAUCUGAUGCUCCCUUCACUCCGGGAAAUGCUUACAGCUAAGACAUUAAGUAAAUCUCACCAGAACCGGCAUGUACCCUUGUCAGACGCUGACGCUUAUAAGGCUGCACCGAGCAGCCUUUGCUAUCCCCACAAAAUGGCUGAGAAAAGCGUGGUCCAAAGACUGUGCUGGAGAGCAUUUAAACGCAGUUGGGAAAGGUGCACGAGGAAUCGAACUUUGUCAACAGCCCUUGAAGUGGGAGAGUACAGUCGUUAACCGGAGCCAAUCGUUUCUGUCCAGAGGUCUUAAAAGGUCAUGGGGUCAUUUCCCGCAGCAGGAGGCUAAGCCAAGGCUGGAACACAUCAAUACUGUGUGAGGCUAUUUCGAGGAGAGACUUAAGGACCAGUCAAUCUUAACUCUUAGAUUUUUUUUUUUUCUUGUUAAUCCCGAACUAUCUACUCCACUGCUUAUCCUAAAGGAAUCUGAAGUCAGGUCGACUCUAAAUCACUCCCAACUGUAGCAGGUGUCACGCCCACGGGAAUCCUCCCGCAGUUGGGGCGAUGUGCCUUUCCUAUCCGGAAGUAGAGGGUGCUGGGGCGAUGUGCCUUUCCUAUCCGGAAGUAGAGGGUGCUGGGGCGAUGUGCCUUUCCUAUCCGGAAGUAGAGGGUGCCCGGCUGAACCUGUGCUUCCCUCUGGAGCACCAGGAUGUUCGUAUUUACCCACUGAGUUUAAAAGGCCUGGAUGAGAGUAGGCUUUGGGGUCCCUGCAGACCAACCACACAACAAUGCUCAAAGUAAAAGUGUGAAUAAAUGUAACAGCUUCAGCAACAA
rnacentral:lncRNA from 1 species